AUUACUGGGAGGGGAACUUGAGAGCCGCGGGUUGAUGUUCGGAGCUCAGGCGACGACUGACCACCCACCCUUCCUCGAAGAGGAACAAUGGCUUGUCCCCUUUCUUGAUUCCAAAGGAAAUAUAGCAUUCAAGCGCCAUGUCUGUUGGGAAUAUAUAAUUCCUUGGCAAAGAAAGAGGAAACAUUUCUCUGAUAAACACAAGAAUCUCAGUAAGAAUUGCAUUAUUGAGAACUUUUCCCACUGAUAAAGUAGGGAAGAGGAAGGGGAAAAUAGCUUUGAAUUUGGAUUAAGGUCUAUAAUUACGUGGCUGAUGGAAUUUGAGAAAUGGCAGGUGUGAGGACUCUGACCUUCCCAUGAAGCAGGUCAUAAGACCCUCAUGUGAGAGAUGCCCUCUCUAUACCUGGAGAAAAGAAGCAGUCUUAUUUGUGAAGACAGAGAGACGCCAAGAGGAAUCUAAAUGAAUAGGCCUUGG
rnacentral:lncRNA from 1 species